GCCAGGUGUGGUGGUGCGUACCUGUAGUCCCAGCUACUCGGGAGGCUGAGGCAGGAGAAUCGCUUGAACCCAGGAGGCAGAGGCUGCAGUGAGCCGAGAUCGCACCAUUGUACUCCAGCCUGGGCGACAGAGUGAGACUCCGUCUCAAAAAAAAAAAAAUAUUAUUUAUUUAUUUAUUUAUUGAGACGGAGUUUCGCUGUUGUCACCCAGGCUGGAGAGCAAUGGCGCGAUCUCGGCUCACCGCAACCUCCGCCUCCUGGGUUCAGGCAAUUCUCCUGCCUCAG
rnacentral:sRNA from 1 species